ACCUCAAAUCAGGCAAGAAUACCCGCUGAACUUAAGCAUAUCAAUAAGCGGAGGAAAAGAAACUAACAAGGAUUCCCCUAGUAACGGCGAGUGAAGAGGGAAGAGCUCAAAUUUUAAAUCUGCCUUGUUCCAAGGUCGAGUUGUAAUUUGAAGAAGCGUUUUCUUGGGCUCGCGGCCGGUAGAAGUUCUUUGGAACAGGACAUCAUAGAGGGUGACAAUCCCGUCCGUGACCGGUCGUGCGUUCAUCUACGAUACGCUUUCAAAGAGUCGAGUUGUUUGGGAUUGCAGCUCCAAACGGGUGGUAAACAUCACCUAAGGCUAAAUAUUGGCGAGAGACCGAUAGCGAACAAGUACCGUGAGGGAAAGAUGAAAAGAACUUUGAAAAGAGAGUUAAACAGUACGUGAAAUUGUUGAAAGGGAAACGAUUGAAGUCAGUCGUGCUGGCGCGAAAUCAACCCUCUCGUCUUGAGAUCACAUGGCGCGACGAGCCUCAAAACCGUCACGAAGCGUGAACUCUUGACGAAAAGGUGCACUUUCGUGUCCGCUGGUUAACAUCAAUUUCGAACGUCAUAAAAAGGCUGGAGGGAUGUGGCUCCUUCGGGAGUGUUAUAACCUUUAGCGGAAUGUGGCGUUCGGGAUUGAGGAUUGCAACGAAUACCUUCAGGGCUGUUCCACCUGGCUUCUCAUUGGUAUCCUGGUGACGACAGCUUGCUGACGUCGUUAGGAUCAGCUUCUGAACAGGCUAGAGUGUGAGCAAAUUCGUUAAGGAUGUUAACGUAAUGGCUUUAAACGACCCGUCUUGAAACACGGACCA
rnacentral:rRNA from 1 species